rnacentral:rRNA from 1 species
UACGGGGGGGGCAAGCGUUGUUCGGAAUUACUGGGCGUAAAGGGUUCGUAGGUGGCCAACUAAGUCAGACGUGAAAUCCCUCAGCUUAACUGGGGAACUGCGUCUGAUACUGGAUGGCUUGGAUUUGGGAGAGGGAUGCGGAAUUCCAGGUGUAGCGGUGAAAUGCGUAGAUAUCUGGAGGAACACCGGUGGCGAAGGCGGUGGUCUGGGCCGGCACUGACGCUGAGGAGCGAAAGCGUGGGGAGCGAACAGG